CAGUCGCCACGGGAAUACGUAUGUCGCGAGCGUUAUCCGGAAUUAUUGGGCAUAAAGGGCAUCUAGGCGGCCGGAUAAGUCUGGGGUGAAAACUUGCGGCUCAACCGCAAGCCUGCCCUGGAAACUAUGCGGCUAGAGUACUGGAGAGGUGGACGGAACUGCACGAGUAGAGGUGAAAUUCGUAGAUAUGUGCAGGAAUGCCGAUGAUGAAGAUAGUUCACUGGACGGUAACUGACGCUGAAGUGCGAAAGCUAGGGGAGCAAACAGGAUUAGAUACCCCCGUAGUCCCUGUCUCUUAUAC
rnacentral:rRNA from 1 species